UACGAAGGGUGCAAGCGUUAGUCGGAAUUACUGGGCGUAAAGCGUGCGUAGGCGGUUUCUUAAGUCCGUUGUGAAAGCCCUGGGCUCAACCUGGGAACUGCAGUGGAUACUGGGAGGCUAGAGUGUGUCAGAGGAUGGUGGAAUUCCCGGUGUAGCGGUGAAAUGCGUAGAGAUCGGGAGGAACAUCAGUGGCGAAGGCGGCCAUCUGGGACAACACUGACGCUGAGGUACGAAAGCGUGGGGAGCAAACAGG
rnacentral:rRNA from 1 species